GCAAUACUUUGCAAAAAGAACAAAUCUGAAGGCAGGCUUUAAAUUAUACUACAAGGCUACAAUCACCAAAAUAGCAUGAUACUGGUAUAAAAUAUGCACAUAGAGCAAUAGAACAGAAUAGAGAACCCAGAAAUAAAGCCAAAUGCUUACAGACAACUAAUCUUCAACAAAGUACACAAAAACAUUAAUUGGGGAAAGGAUACUUUAUUCAAUAAAUGGUGCAGGAAGUAUAAAAAUAGGCACAUAGAGCAAUGGAACAGAAUAGAGAACCCAGAAAUAAAGCCAAAUGCUUACAGACAACUAAUCUUCAACAAAGUAUGCAAAAACACUAAUUGGGGAAAGGACACUUUAUUCAAUAAAUGGUGCAGGAAGUAUAAAAAUAGGCACAUAGAGCAAUGGAACAGAAUAGAGAACCGAGAAACAAAGCCCGGUACUUUCAGUCACCUGAUCUUUAACAAAGCAUAUAAAAACUUCCAUCUAAGACCUGAAAGUCUAAAAAUGCUACAAGAUAGCAUCCAAAAAGCUUUUCUAGACAUUGGCUUAGGCCAAGUAGUCAUGACUAAUGCCCCAAAAGCAAACGCAAAAAUAUAAAAAUAGAAUAAGAUCAAUAGGACCUAAUAUCAGCAGGGUAAACACACAACCCACAGUAUAGGAAACAGUAGUCACAAACUAGGCAUCUGACAAAGGACUAAUGUCCAGACUCCAAAGGAACUGAAAGAAAUCAGCAAGAAGAAAAGGUGCCAUUUACCACCUUCCUGACUCAUUGGCCAGAACCAAUGUUAGUGGAAUUAACAUAUGCCCCACCCCAAGUGACUUCUAAAGGGCUAACUCACCACAAGGGAGUCAGAGCAGAUCUUGGACUGAGACCUACAGGACACAGCGACUCUUAAAUAGGUGGCUCACCAGGAGAAAGGCAUAGCAGAACCUGGACUGAGACCUACGGGAGACAGGUAUUGCUUUUUCUCUUCUAAUCAUUUUAAAUUUAAUUUACCAUCUUUCAUCAAAUAGCUCCGAUCAUAUCAUUAUUUUUUAUCACCCUGGCCCACCAUGCCCUAUCCUGUGCCUAAAAAAACCCUGGGACCCUAGCAGGCAGACACACAGGAGGUUGGACGUCGAGAGGAGCACAUCAGUGCAAGAACACAUGGGUGGCUGCCACUUCUCUCCCUUUCCUGAGAGGGAAAAACUCUCGACGCUGAGAGGAAUCCACCAACAGGCACCAGCACUCUGGCAGGCCACCGACCAAUGGAUUGACAUAGAGUUUGGCUGGGGCAGCCAGAGGAGAGCCUGGGCCGCUGAAUAACCCGACUUCAGGGGAAAACUAUUCUCCCUUUUGGCUCCCCCAUCUGCUGAGAGCUACUUCCACUCAAUAAAACCUUGCACUCAUUCUCCAGAGCACAUGGUACCACAUGUCCACUGGGGCUUCAGCAGCUGUAAACAUCUACCCCUAGAUGCUGCCAUGGGGUUGUAGCCCCACAACUUGCCAGUCUGUAUGCUUCCCUAGAGGUUUGAGCAGCGGAGUACUAAAGAAGCAAGCCACACCCCCACUCCACCUCCUGUGAGGGGGACAAGGAAACUUUUCCCAUUUCAACUGGUGGCUCGUCUGGGAUCUCGGAAGGUGACCAAGAUCAUCCUGGCCUGCUAAGACCCAUCCUGUGCUUAUAAAAACCCCAAGACCCUAGCAGUCAGACACACAGGAGGCUUGACGUCGAGAGGAGCACAUCAGCGGAGGAACACACAGGCGGCUGGACAUGAAGAGGAACAUGACAACAGGCACCAGCACACCAGCAGGGCACCGACUUAUAGAACGAUGUGGAUUUUGCCUGGGGCAGUCAGAGGAGAGCCAGGGCUGCUGAACGGCCCCAAUCCAGGGAGAAACCAAUCUCCUUUCUGGCUCCCCCAUCUGCUGAGAGCUACUUCCACUCAAUAAAACCUUGCACUCAUUCUCCACGUCCACGUGUGACCUGAUUCUUCUGGAAUGCCAAGGCAAGAACCCUAGGAUACAGAAAGCCCUCUGUCCUUGUGAUAAGGAAUGUGUCUAAUUGAGCUAGUUACCACAAGUUGCCUAUAAAUGGCAAAACUAAAAGACCACACGACCACUGGGGCUUCAGGAACUGUAAACAUCCACCCCUACACACUGCCAGUAUGAGAAAAAUUUGCUGAUAUGUUUUCUGCUGACCUGAUGACAAUGUUCCUAUGGUCACACUAACCACUGCUGGGUAAUUUUCAUCAUGACUCUCGUUUUCAUCUGCUGAAACCAGCCUCCCCAAGAAAGACAACUAUUUUCAAACUGAGGAAAUAAAGUGUUACUAAACCACAGUGUUCUCUCAUGGCUGUUCCUGGAGUUCUUCAAAACACUUGAUAUUAU
rnacentral:lncRNA from 1 species